rnacentral:rRNA from 1 species
GAUGAACGCUGGCGGCGUGCCUAAUACAUGCAAGUCGAGCGAACGGACGAGAAGCUUGCUUCUCUGAUGUUAGCGGCGGACGGGUGAGUAACACGCGGAUAACCUACCUAUAAGACUGGGAUAACUUCGGGAAACCGAAGCUAAUACCGGAUGAUAUUUUGAACCGCAUGGUUCAAAAGUGAAAGACGGUCUUGCUGUCACUUAUAGAUGGAUCCGCGCUGCAUUAGCUAGUUGGUAAGGUAACGGCUUACCAAGGCAACGAUGCAUAGCCGACCUGAGAGGGUGAUCGGCCACACUGGAACUGAGACACGGUCCAGACUCCUACGGGAGGCAGCAGUAGGGAAUCUUCCGCAAUGGGCGAAAGCCUGACGGAGCAACGCCGCGUGAGUGAUGAAGGUCUUCGGAUCGUAAAACUCUGUUAUUAGGGAAGAACAUAUGUGUAAGUAACUGUGCACAUCUUGACGGUACCUAAUCAGAAAGCCACGGCUAACUACGUG